rnacentral:misc_RNA from 1 species
AUAUCAUCUUCAGUUGUGAAAGACUUAAAAAAAAGUUUUUUAUUUUUUAAGAUAAAAAUUAAUAAUGGCCGGGGCCUAUAGCUCAGUUGGUUAGAGCACACGCCUGAUAAGCGUGAGGUCGAUGGUUCGAGUCCAUUUAGGCCCACCAAAAUAUUUAUUUUAAAAAAAAGCUCUUUGAAAAG